CCUACGGGGGGCUGCAGUAGGGAAUUUUCGGCAAUGGGGGAAACCCUGACCGAGCAACGCCGCGUGAGCGAAGAAGGCCUUCGGGUCGUAAAGCUCUGUUGUAAAGGAAGAACGGCGCAUACAGGAAAUGGUAUGCGAGUGACGGUACUUUACCAGAAAGCCACGGCUAACUACGUGCCAGCAGCCGCGGUAAUACGUAGGUGGCGAGCGUUAUCCGGAAUCAUUGGGCGUAAAGAGGGAGCAGGCGGCCGCAAGGGUCUGUGGUGAAAGACCGAAGCUAAACUUCGGUAAGCCAUGGAAACCGGGCGGCUAGAGUGCGGAAGAGGAUCGUGGAAUUCCAUGUGUAGCGGUGAAAUGCGUAGAUAUAUGGAGGAACACCAGUGGCGAAGGCGACGGUCUGGGCCGCAACUGACGCUCAUUCCCGAAAGCGUGGGGAGCAAAUAGGAUUAGAUACCCCAGUAGUC
rnacentral:rRNA from 1 species